UUCAACUUGAGAGUUUGAUCCUGGCUCAGAGCGAACGCUGGCGGCAGGCUUAACACAUGCAAGUCGAGCGGGCAUCCUCGUGGUGUCAGCGGCAGACGGGUGAGUAACACGUGGGAACGUGCCCUUCGGUUCGGAAUAACUCAGGGAAACUUGAGCUAAUACCGGAUACGCUCUUGUGGGGUAAGGUUUAUCUGCCGA
rnacentral:rRNA from 1 species